CCUACGGGUGGCAGCAGUGAGGAAUAUUGCACAAUGGGGGAAACCCUGAUGCAGCAACGCCGCGUGAGUGAUGACGGCCUUCGGGUUGUAAAGCUCUGUUUUCAGGGACGAUAAUGACGGUCCCUGAGGCGGAAGCCACGACGAACUGCAUGCCAGCAGCCGCGGUAAUACGUAGGUGGCGAGCGUUUUCCGGAUUUACUGGGUGUAAGGGGAGCGUAGGUGGAAGUUUAGUUGAGAUGGGAAAUACUCGGGCCCAAGUUGAGUGCUGCAUUUCAAACUGGAAGGCUAGAGUGCAGGAGAGGAGAAAGGAAUUACUAGUGUAGCGGUGAAAUGCGUAGAGAUUAGGAAGAACACCAGUUGCGAAGGCGACUCUCUGGACUGUAACUGACGCUGAGGCUCGAAAGCGUGGGGAGCAAACAGGAUUAGAUACCCGAGUAGUC
rnacentral:rRNA from 1 species